rnacentral:rRNA from 1 species
AGCGACCGGUGGCGGCAUGCUUAACACAUGCAAGUCGCACGGAUCUUUCGGGAUCAGUGGCGGACGGGUGAGUAACGCGUAGGGAUCUAUCCAUGGGUGGGGGACAACUCCGGGAAACUGGAGCUAAUACCGCAUGAUACCUGAGGGUCAAAGGCGCAAGUCGCCUGUGGAGGAACCUGCGUUCGAUUAGCUAGUUGGUGGGGUAAAGGCCUACCAAGGCGAUGAUCGAUAGCUGGUUUGAGAGGAUGAUCAGCCACACUGGGACUGAGACACGGCCCAGACUCCUACGGGAGGCAGCAGUGGGGAAUAUUGGACAAUGGGCGAAAGCCUGAUCCAGCAAUGCCGCGUGUGUGAAGAAGGUCUUCGGAUUGUAUAGCACUUUCGACGGGGACGAUGAUGACGGUACCCGUAGAAGAAGCCCCGGCUAACUUCGUGCCAGCAGCCGCGGUAAUACGAAGGGGGCUAGCGUUGCUCGGAAUGACUGGGCGUAAAGGGCGCGUAGGCGGUUUAUGCAGUCAGAUGUGAAAUCCCCGGGCUUAACCUGGGAACUGCAUUUGAGACCCAUAGACUAGAGGUCAGAGAGGGUUGUGGAAUUCCCAGUGUAGAGGUGAAAUUCGUAGAUAUUGGGAAGAACAACGGUGGCGAAUGCGGCAACCUGGCUCGAU